rnacentral:lncRNA from 7 species
UUCUCAUCCUGUUGCAGCUGAAAUAUCCAUUGUACCUCCCACAGCUCCAAUAACUGCAGUUAUUUUCAUUUCUAGCACAUUUGGAAACAAACGAUAUUAAAUCUGUUUUAUUUGAUGAGAGAAGUUCAUAAAGAAAUGGCAAAGGGCUUGCAUUUUUUAAAUAUUUGGCCUUCAGAUAUCCCGUCCUUUGCAGAUCCUUUAAGCCAUGCUCAGGUGACCCUUACAGGCUGAGCAGCAAAACCCUGCUGCGAGAAAGGGGCCCAGAGCCGCCACAGCCUCCCUUGUGGUCCCUGCCUAUCAAUGUCUGCUCUUAUUCCACAAUGAGGCUGGACUGUCUUGGCAGGGAAAGCUUCAUGGGAUCAGGAUUGACCUGUGGUGGACUCCACUGUGUUUACUGCCAAUUUGGGAUGAUGCGUUGCUGUAAAGUGCUACCAAUAAAUGGGAAGUUUGGGCUAGCAGGAAAAGAACAGCAUGAUGCAAAACUAUACUCAGACCGGAGUGCUUACCAGUGUGUUUGCCAGACAGAAGGAGGUUUAUUUCCUUCUCAUAAGAGCUGCUAACUGCACUGCAGUGGUGGAAAUGACCGUGAACUUCAGAAUUCAAGAAGGCUGUUCUAAAAAAUACUGCAAAAAGUGUGAAAAUGCUCUAAAAGUAUAGCUGGUCAUCCUAAGUACAAAUGAGAGAUCUACAAGGUGUUAUUCCACCAGAGGAAGAUCCUGUACUCUGCAGUCCCACUACGGACCUGACUGUGGCAGAGGAGGAGCAGCCAUCUACUUACAGGUCAAUUCUGAAAGGGUACUCUGAAGCGCUGGAACAUUUAACUCACAGUGAAGAAAUACUGCCCAGCUUCUGUUCAACAUCAUCGUCAGCCGCUUGGUUGGGCGAUUCUGGCCAGUGCACAAGGAACUGUAGGAGCCCUUCAGUGAUUACAGGACACCACAGAUGGCAUCUGCAAGGCUGAACCAUGGGGAUGAUGCUGCCGUUUUUGCAGGCAAAAGCUAUAGAAAAGUGAAGCAGGAGUCCCAAGAAAAUGCCUGGACUCAUGAGAGCUAAUCACAGCAGGGUCAUAGGAGGCAGAUACGUUUGCAGGACUGAUGCAGAGCUCCAUUGCUCGAGGUGGAUCCUGAGGAAUAGUUGCUAUUUAUUGCAGCCCAAUGUAUUGGAAUUCAAAACCAAGGAGAUCGAUCAUCCUCGCAUCAGAUCUGAGGUUUGGUACAUAGUAUGCAUUUUUUGCAGUGUGGUGGAACAAAGCAAUUAUUUCACAGCUGAAGGAAAACCAGAAGAUAUUUAAAAAUGGAAAGUUCCCUUCCCAAGCCAUAAUGGAUGACGACGGUAGUAGAAGUAAUAUAUUCAGAGGGACCAAAACAGGAUAACAAUUUUUCAGAAGCUGAAGAAAUAUAUGAGGGAAGAAGAGAGAUUGAUACAGCAGCAUUGGAACCAGCUUUGUCCUUGGAUUGCAAGGGAAUGGAGAAAUGAGGUGUCUUCACAGAUCUUUCUUAUGUGACCAAGUGGCAGAAAAUGCUGCAGAAAUCUACUUCAGACAGUUAAGUAUUCAGGUUACUGAAAGCUGUGUUUACUAUUUUUAUAUCUAUGGUUGUGAGCUAAGUAUUUUUUUUUUUUUUUUUUUUUUUGCCUGUUCACAUCCUUGCUGCCUGCAGAGCUUCCCAGUUGCUAGGCUGUGUUUAAUAUAUUAUUUUCCCAUUGAGACACCUAUGCUCCCUGUCACAUCUCUGUUGUCUCUUUUCAGUACUGUAUGAGCCCCAUCUCUGGCUUCUCUAAAUGUUAAAGACCUCUCUUCCAGUUAUUUAUACAGUAUUUAAAAUACGUCCCUUAGUAAUCUUGACUUCAUCAGCCUGACCCCUCUGAACCACCAUUCGCCCUUGGUUCAUCAAAUCAGGUUCAGCCUUCUUGCCUUUAGCUUAGGACAUUUUAAUUCUUUUUUUCUGCAUAAUGUCUGUUUCUGUCUCCUAUAUUGAGAUUUAUUAAAAUUAUUUAGCCAUUUUAAGAUGAAACCGUAUGUCUAGUUGAGUGUUCAAAAUCAGUGACUACCUAAUUCCCCCUGAGACUAACACUCAUUCAUUCUCCUCAUUAACUUAGCAAGAGGACUUAGAGUCCAGCAUUGCAGAUUGUCUCCAGGCUUUCAUGCCUGAACUUCUCUUUCACUGUUGGGGGCAUAGAUCCUUCCUCUUCUGAGGACAAAGAAAUUUGGUGUCAUCCAGUCUGUGGAGAAAGUUUGCUGCAACUUGGAAUGCUGUUCUACCAAACAAUUCCUUUCUUCCAUCUGCGACACAAUUUUUUAGGGUUUUCCGAUUAAUCCAAAUACUGAAGAUAUUAUAAAGCCACAGAAACUGCUUUAGGCCAAAGAUGGCAAUUACAGCUAAGAGCUAGAGCUAACUGAAAGGCUUCCUAUUUUUUAACAUUUUUCUGUGGCUUUUAAGAUCUUUUUGUGUCACUCUGGAAUGAAAACCAAGUGCACAAAGACUUUUGGCAAAAAUGGGACUUUGCAAAAUGUUCAUCUUUGGCUCCAGAAACCGUUUUUCUUCUACUCUCAUCUUCUAGGAAGCCUAUUGUAGAGCUUAGAAAUAAUCCUGUCAGAACUUCAUCAAAGCCAGUAUUUGUUUUCAAAAUGUUCUAGUUUUGGCAUAAUAUUAGUUGGAGAAGAAAGUAUUUAAUCCAAAAUUUUCUGACUAGUUCCAUAAAUGUCAUUACAUUAAUUAGGUACAUAAGUAACAGUAGCUGAAUUAGCUAUGUUUACACAUGUCUAGUCAUCUGAAAGAAUAUGAAGUCAGACAGGACUCAAGGGUUGGCUCAGUAAGUGUCAUAAAUUUUAGUAACCCCUGAUCUUGAUGCUCAGUAGAACACAUCUGUGAACAAAACUAAUUGAAACAUCAAGAAAAAGUCAAAACAAAUGAAAAGCAUU